CACACACACACACACACUGAACUUAGUGCUCUUGGCACAUCUAUUGCCCGGUAACAGUACAGGAGAGGACCCAGUCUGAGCAACAGGGGAACAAAACUCAAAGCAGAGGAAGAAAUCCAGGACAAAUUACAGGCAUAUAAAAGCUGACACGAGGAUGGUAAGAUCCUUAAAGAGACACAACAGUUCUCUUACUCACACUGAAUUUUCAUAGUACAUCAGAGGUGAGACACAGUCAUGUCUCUUCCACUGGACCUGAGCUCCUACAACAAGGAUGCUUCACUGGACACGCUGGAGAAGCAGCUCAUCUGUCCGAUCUGCUUGGAAGUCUUUACCAAACCUGUGGUUAUUCUGCCAUGUCAACACAACCUCUGCCGCAAAUGUGCUAAUGAACUUUACCAGCCUUCUCUGUUCCAGGUUGGAAUUGGAGGUCGAUUUCGGUGUCCAUCCUGUAGACAUGAAGUUGUUUUGGACCGUCAUGGUGUUUAUGGGCUCCAGAGAAACCUUCUAGUAGAAAAUAUUAUCGAUGUCUACAAGCAAGCAUCUGAAAGUUGUAGGCCUCCACCAAAACCACUUGUACAAAUAAACUGUGAAGAACAUGAAGGGGAGAAGCUGAACAUUUACUGCAUCACCUGUCAGAUCCCCACAUGUUCACUAUGUAAAGUGUUUGGAGCACAUAAGUCCUGUCAGGUGGCCCCCAUCUGUGAUGUAUAUCAGCAGCAAAAGACCGAACUCAGUGGUGGAAUUGGGUCCCUGGUUGCCACUAAUGAGUGCAUCCAAGCAUGCGUUAAUGAUCUGGAGGAGAUCUGUAGGAGUAUUGAGGAAAAUAGUGGAAACCAAAAGCAGAUACUGUGUGAGAAGUUUGACCGUCUGUGUGGUAUCCUGGAAGAAAGACGUAAGAUUAUGUUACAGCGAAUCACAUACGAACAUGAUGAAAAGACAAGCUGGGCCCAAAGCUUGGUACAUACCUACAGUGAGCAUGUUGACACAAACUCAAAGUUAAUGCAGACUGCGUUGAAUGCCAUGGAAGAGCCGGAGAUGGCUGCAUUUCUUCAGACCUCAAAAAGCCUUAUUGAACAGGUGAGCGAGGCAACUAAAUCUGUUCCAGUGGAGACCUUACAGCCUGGAUAUGAAAACAUGGAUCACUAUAAGGUUGAUUUUAAUGCUGAGGAGAGGGCUCUCUACCAGCUUGAUUUCAUCAAACCUGAAGAGGAAGUUGAAGAGCCUCCAGAAGAACCAACACCAGAACCUGAGCCAGAAGUGUUACACGAACCUGAACCUGAACAUGAACCUGAACAUACACCAGUGUACAGUCCAAUAGACAGCUCUGAGCUAGACCAAGAACUGAAAUUGGAAAACUAUGAGAUAAAGACUGUUUUAAGUCAGACAAAGGAGGAAAACCAGGCACAAGCAGAGGGAUGUUCAGCAAGACAAAAAAGUGGCAUAUGUGAGAAAACUGGACUGAACACACAACAGGGCCAGACAGAGUUAGUGUAUGAGGGGCAUGAUUCAGGAAUCCACUGUUUAACCUCAGAAGCUGGUGCAGAGACUAAGCUCUUCCCCACUUGGCUUACACUCAACAACAGGCCAAUGCUUAACCAAAACCAAGCAACAACUCUGGAUUCUUGGGAUAUUCCUGAAAAUACACCCAAACUCAUGAGUGAACCCUCAGGUCAGUUCCAGCAGACAGAGACACCUCUGUCUGUGUGGAUGAGUGGCAGCCUUAUCCCUCUUUCUAAUGAGAACCAGACCCAACUUGGAAGAGGCUCAUUAGAGAGCAACCAACCAAAUAUGUCAGAGGUUGACAAGAAUAUUUGUUGUGAGUUUGCCAGUGGGGCUGCCAACAAGGAGAGCAUGGCUUCUUUAUCUCCACAGGCCAUCAUCCAUAUAUUUUACGUCCUGGCCUUUCUCGUCAUCCUCCAGAGAGUAUGGGGGAACAUUCAGUGCCUUUUUUCCAUAUAGCACUGCUGGGAAAUUACAAAAAUAUCAGGGUGAACCCUGCUCAUUGGGAGCCCAGGACAACAGAGAGAUGGAGCCGAACACUGAUACAAGCUUUCACAACUACUAUUAUGCCCCCAUGUGGUAGAAAGGCAGAAGCAAGCAAACAUACAAACAAUUAGUCAGAAUGCAGAUUCAGAUCUCUCAGAGGUGGGAGUCAGCUCUCCUGCUGUUACAAGCGAGUCUGUGCGUAUCAGCUUCUCCUUCUCCUGGCUGAAUCCACUUGCCAA